rnacentral:antisense_RNA from 1 species
UGUUAUGGCAGGCUGUGCGCGGGAGGCAUUCGUGCCUGCCGGGUUCCUUUACUCCCGGUUGACCAACCUGCGCACAGUUCGCCACCAAU